rnacentral:rRNA from 1 species
CCAGACUCCUACGGGAGGCAGCAGUGGGGAAUAUUGGACAAUGGACCAAGAGUCUGAUCCAGCAAUUCUGUGUGCACGAUGAAGUUUUUCGGAAUGUAAAGUGCUUUCAGUUGGGAAGAAAGAAAUGACGGUACCAACAGAAGAAGUGACGGCUAAAUACGUGCCAGCAGCCGCGGUAAUACGUAUGUCACGAGCGUUAUCCGGAUUUAUUGGGCGUAAAGCGCGUCUAGGUGGUUAUAUAAGUCUGAUGUGAAAAUGCAGGGCUCAACUCUGUAUUGCGUUGGAAACUGUAUAACUAGAGUACCGGAGAGGUAAGCGGAACUACAAGUGUAGAGGUGAAAUUCGUAGAUAUUUGUAGGAAUGCCGAUGGGGAAGCCAGCUUACUGGACAGAUACUGACGCUGAAGCGCGAAAGCGUGGGUAGCAAACAGGAUUAGAUACCCUGGUAGUCCACGCCGUAAACGAUGAUUACUAGGUGUUGGGGGUCGAACCUCAGCGCCCAAGCAAACGCGAUAAGUAAUCCGCCUGGGGAGUACGUACGCAAGUAUGAAACUCAAAGGAAUUGACGGGGGCCCGCACAAG